GAGUUUGAUCUUGGCUCAGAUUGAACGCUGGCGGCAUGCCUUACACAUGCAAGUCGAACGGCAGCACGGGAGCUUGCUCCUGGUGGCGAGUGGCGAACGGGUGAGUAAUGCAUCGGAACGUAUCCUGGAGUGGGGGAUAACGUAGCGAAAGUUACGCUAAUACCGCAUAUUCUGUGAGCAGGAAAGCGGGGGACCUUCGGGCCUCGCGCUCUUGGAGCGGCCGAUGUCGGAUUAGCUAGUUGGUGAGGUAAAGGCUCACCAAGGCGACGAUCCGUAGCAGGUCUGAGAGGAUGAUCUGCCACACUGGAACUGAGACACGGUCCAGACUCCUACGGGAGGCAGCAGUGGGGAAUUUUGGACAAUGGGGGCAACCCUGAUCCAGCCAUGCCGCGUGAGUGAAGAAGGCCUCGGUUGUAAGACGUCUUCGUCGAGGAAGGAA
rnacentral:rRNA from 1 species